AUCUUUCUAGUAUUAAAAAAGUAUAAGUGACUUCCAAUCACCCGGCCUUGGUUAAAAUCCAAGGAAAGAUA
rnacentral:tRNA from 1 species